rnacentral:rRNA from 1 species
AGUAUUUUGACUAUACAAAGGUAUUGAAAUAAGGCUUUAAUUGAGUGCUAAGAGAAUGGAAAUACAGAAAUUAACUUUCUUAAUUUUAAUUAUUGAAGUUAUUUUUAUUUGUGAAGAAACAAUAAUUUUAAUCAAGGACAAGAAGACCCUAAGAAUUUUUAAAAAUUAAAUCAAUUUUCAGAAUUAGGUUAAUUUUUUUAAUUGGGGCGAUUAAUUAAAAUUAAAAACUUUUUAGGAAAAAAAAGAACCGUUAAUAACGGUCAAUUGGAAAAAUACUCUAGGGAUAACAGCGUAAUAAUUUUUGAUAGUUCAUAUUGACAGAAUAGUUUGCGACCUCGAUGUUGGAUUAGGAUAUUUUUUUAGUGAAGAAGUUAAAAAAAAGAGUUUGUUCAACUUUUAAAUUCCUA